GGUGCCCAGCCCCAGUACACGAGAAGAUGGGGCCCUUCCUGAUGCCCUCGUCUCCUGCAUUGAGCUAUGUGAGCUCUUGUGCCCAGCAGACCCCCUUGCAUUGACCGGCAUAGAUGUUGAACCUUGAGGAAGACUUGUAUUGGGCCCAAUGGCCCUGGGCCAGUGUCUGUCAGUCAGGUGCCCAGCCCCAGUACACCGAAGAUGGGGCCCUUCCUGAUGCCCUCGUCUCCUGCAUUGAGCUAUGUGAGCUCUUGUGCCCAGCAGACCCCCUUACAUUGACCGGCAUAGGUGAGUGGAUCCUGCUGGGGUCAUGGCAA